UAAUAAUAAUAAUAAUAACAAUAAUAAUUAUUAACAAUAUACAAACAAAAUCAAACGUUUGGAAACUAAGGACGGACAGUCAAAAAGUAUAAUAUGUUACGAAAAUCGUAAACAAUUUCAGAAAUACAAAUAUUUGAAUUCUAUCAGUCACAGUUUACGCCAUUAUUUGUCUAUUGCAUGUUUAAAGUAUUACCUUGUGUUAUGUUUAUAUUUUCAAAUGGACAGACUUAUUUACUGAUUAGUCUGCAGGCUUCAUGAUUUCUCAAGACUUAGGCUACAUAGGAACAUCGAAAAUUAGUGACUACAACAGCGAAUUUUCAAUUCUAUAUUUUUUUUUCAACUUAUUUGAUUCAACAUUUUCCUUACAUUAAGCUGAAAUGAAUACUAUUUGAAGGACUAUAAUCAUUAAAAUAAUAUAAUUAUAUUGAAAAAUAAAAUUAUAAACAUUAUAAGAUUUACACUGGGAUAAAAUCGAAGAGGUAUGUACUAUGUAUAGUAUUCAAGUAUACCUAAUACAGCAAAUACAGCAAAAAACGACCGGUUUGAAAUUAAUUUUGUGACUAAUUCAGUAAUUGUAUACGUUGUUAUACACAGCGUAUGAAGACGUUUAGACCAAUUUAUUACAUAUUAUAAACUAUAAAUAACAUUUUUCAUAGAAUUUUUCAAUUUUAGGAAUGACAAACAGUUUCGACACGGCUGAAAAGUGACUGACGACUGUGAUUACCUAACGUUUAUGUUAUAAAUUAUAAUCUAAUUUAGCGGAAAUACGAUUUUUUUAAAUCAUGGCACUGUUAUUUCCACAAAAAUUUUACGAUUCUUAUAGUUACAUCACUAAAUUACAACAAGAAAAUAAUAUUAAUAUUAAAAUGAAAUAGCAGUUAUUUUUCAAUAUUAGAUACAAUUAAAAUUGUUUGAAUUAUAUUUUCUAUGUAAUGUGAUACAUCUCAAAAUUAUAUUAUGUAUGUAAUAAUAAUAAUAA